GGGAGGUAUAGGAGGAGCACCGCUUAAUUUUGAUGAUGCAUAAAAUGUACCAGAAGACUCAAUAACAGCUACAAGAGAAGCAGCCAUCAUUGAAAGAGCAUCGCCAACUUCAAAAAUGGGAGUUCCCCAUUGAAAUGGUUGUGGAAUCUUUAUCCAAGGAGCAGCACCAAUGAGCCCAGAACUAUCAGAAUGAGAAUUCAUUUGUGUUUCUUGAUGGUUUAUCCAACGAGCAGCACCAUUGAGACUAGAACUAUCAGUACGACAAUUAAUUUGUCUUUCUUGAGAUGUAUUAUCAUAUGCACCAGCUACAGUCAAAAUCUCUGCAUAGGUCCAUACAAUUCCCACCGAAAGUAUGAUUGCUAAUUGACCAACUAUCUCUUUUUUUGCUUUCCAGAUAAGGGGAAGAAACUGAGUUAAGAAAACCAAUAUAGCUAAAGCUGGGAGUCCAAUUUCAAUACACUUAGCCACCAGUGGAAAUCCACGGACGUACAGCCCAAGUCCCGUGAGUGUUACAAGAGGAACUGAAGCAAGAGGGCUAAGGUGUCUUGCAAAAUAUCUCGCCAAACCAGAGAAACCAAUCACCAUUUGAAAGAAAGACGAAAUGAGACUUGCUCCUUGUACACGUCGUAUGAAUAGUUCAAACCUCUGAUGGGGAUCGAGUGAGUGAUUAAAAUUACUGUAAGUUGAUAAAGCAAUGGAAAUUAUAGGGAUAAUGUAAGCUUGGGAUGUUUCCAUAGACACAGAAAGCCGAGCACCAAAACAAAUCUGCAAAAGUGUGUUUAUUGCCAUUGCAAACAGCGACGCUUGUAUCGCCCUUGCUUUCUCUACAUUGCCGCCUCCGCCCAAACUGACCAUCAGGGACGGAAAUAUCACUGUACUCCUCACAUUCACUACUAAGUGCUGAACUCC
rnacentral:misc_RNA from 1 species